rnacentral:rRNA from 1 species
UACGUAGGGUGCGAGCGUUGUCCGGAAUUAUUGGGCGUAAAGGGCUCGUAGGCGGUUUGUCGCGUCGGGGGUGAAAUCCACUGGCUUAACUGGUGGCUUGCUUUCGAUACGGGCAGACUGGAGGGAUGCAGGGGAGAACGGAAUUCCUGGUGUAGCGGUGAAAUGCGCAGAUAUCAGGAGGAACACCGGUGGCGAAGGCGGUUCUCUGGGCCGAUACUGACGCUGAGGUACGAAAGCGUGGGGAGCGAACAGG